AGUGAACGCUGGCGGUAGGCCUAACACAUGCAAGUCGAACGGCAGCACAGCAAGAGCUUGCUCUUACGGGUGGCGAGUGGCGGACGGGUGAGGAAUACAUCGGAAUCUGCUUUUUCGUGGGGGAUAACGUAGGGAAACUUACGCUAGUACCGCAUACGACCUACGGGUGAAAGCAGGGGAUCUUCGGACCUUGCGCGAUUGAAUGAGCCGAUGUCGGAUUAGCUAGUUGGCGGGGUAAAGGCCCACCAAGGCGACGAUCCGUAGCUGGUCUGAGAGGAUGAUCAGCCACACUGGAACUGAGACACGGUCCAGACUCCUACGGGAGGCAGCAGUGGGGAAUAUUGGACAGUGGGCGCAAGCCUGAUCCAGCCAUACCGCGUGGGUGAAGAAGGCCUUCGGGUUGUAAAGCCCUUUUGUUGGGAAAGAAAAGCAGCAGGUUAAUACCCCGCUGUUCUGACGGUACCCAAAGAAUAAGCACCGGCUAACUUCGU
rnacentral:rRNA from 1 species